rnacentral:lncRNA from 1 species
ACUCCAGAGUAUUCUACUGUCGAGAAUAUCUCUGAUGGGAUAUAGGUAUAAGUGUCCUUAGACCUGAGAUCGCCUCAGUGACUUGCAAGCAACUCACUGUGCUUUGGUACUGGACUAACUGAAUUUCUAAUUCAGGGACGGAAGGCUUCUGGGCACAGUCAAGUACUUGCGAAGUCAGAGUGUGAUCGAGAUGGGAUUGACCACUCCAAGAGUUGGAGAAGAAUGAGUCGCUGUAUUUCAAUUUAGCAAAAUCUUGGCCNN